CACCAGCCCCUCGAGUGGUGGGGAUGAUUAUUUGGCCUAAAGCGUCCGUAGCCGGCCGGGUAGUUUCCCGUUAAAUCCAGCGUCUCAAGCGUUGGACUGCGGGAAAUACUGCCUGGCUAGAGAGUGGGAGAGGUGUACGGUAUUCUGGGGGGUAGGGGCGAAAUCCUUUGAUCCCCGGAGGACCACCAGUGGCGAAGGCUGUACACUAGAACACGUCUGACGGUCAGGGACGAAAGCUGGGGUAGCGAACCGGAUUAGAUACCCGGGUAGUCCCAGCUGUAAACGAUGCAUGCUAGGUGUUGGGUUGGCCACGAGCCACCCCAGUGCCGCAGGGAAGCCGUUAAGCAUGCCGCCUGGGAAGUACGAUCGCAAGAUUGAAACUUAAAGGAAUUGGCGGGGGAGCACCACCAGGCGUGAAGCCUGCGGUUU
rnacentral:rRNA from 1 species